UACAGAGGUCUCAAGCGUUGUUCGGAUUCAUUGGGCGUAAAGGGUGUGUAGGUGGCGCCGUAAGUCGGGUGUGAAAUCUCGGGGCUUAACUCCGAAACUGCAUUCGAUACUGCGGUGCUUGAGGACUGGAGAGGAGACUGGAAUUCAUGGUGUAGCAGUGAAAUGCGUAGAGAUCAUGAGGAAGACCAGUGGCGAAAGGCGGGUCUCUGGACAGUUCUGACACUGAGACACGAAGGCCAGGGGAGCAAACGGG
rnacentral:rRNA from 1 species